UACUUAUGGAGCAAAGGACAAGAUCUCAA
rnacentral:piRNA from 1 species